UACGUAGGGGGCAAGCGUUGUCCGGAAUCACUGGGCGUAAAGCGCACGUAGGCGGAUUGCUAAGUCAGGGGUGAAAUCCUGGAGCUCAACUCCAGAACUGCCUUUGAUACUGGCGACCUUGAGUCCGGGAGAGGUGAGUGGAACUGCGAGUGUAGAGGUGAAAUUCGUAGAUAUUCGCAAGAACACCAGUGGCGAAGGCGGCUCACUGGCCCGGUACUGACGCUGAGGUGCGAAAGCGUGGGGAGCAAACAGG
rnacentral:rRNA from 1 species